rnacentral:rRNA from 1 species
AUGAACGCUAGCUACAGGCUUAACACAUGCAAGUCGAGGGGCAGCAUGAACUUAGCUUGCUAAGUUUGAUGGCGACCGGCGCACGGGUGAGUAACACGUAUCCAACCUGCCGAUGACUCGGGGAUAGCCUUUCGAAAGAAAGAUUAAUACCCGAUGGCAUAGUUCUUCCGCAUGGUAGAACUAUUAAAGAAUUUCGGUCAUCGAUGGGGAUGCGUUCCAUUAGGUUGUUGGCGGGGUAACGGCCCACCAAGCCUUCGAUGGAUAGGGGUUCUGAGAGGAAGGUCCCCCACAUUGGAACUGAGACACGGUCCAAACUCCUACGGGAGGCAGCAGUGAGGAAUAUUGGUCAAUGGACGAGAGUCUGAACCAGCCAAGUAGCGUGAAGGAUGACUGCCCUAUGGGUUGUAAACUUCUUUUAUACGGGAAUAAAGUGAGGCACGUGUGCCUUUUUGUAUGUACCGUAUGAAUAAGGAUCGGCUAACUCCGUGCCAGCAGCCGCGGUAAUACGAAGGAUCCGAGCGUUAUCCGGAUUUAUUGGGUUUAAAGGGAGCGUAGGCGGACGCUUAAGUCAGUUGUGAAAGUUUGCGGCUCAACCGUAAAAUUGCAGUUGAUACUGGGUGUCUUGAGUACAGUAGAGGCAGGCGGAAUUCGUGGUGUAGCGGUGAAAUGCUUAGAUAUCACGAAGAACUCCGAUUGCGAAGGCAGCCUGCUGGACUGUAACUGACGCUGAUGCUCGAAAGUGUGGGUAUCAAACAGGAUUAGAUACCCUGGUAGUCCACACAGUAAACGAUGAAUACUCGCUGUUUGCGAUAUACAGUAAGCGGCCAAGCGAAAGCGUUAAGUAUUCCACCUGGGGAGUACGCCGGCAACGGUGAAACUCAAAGGAAUUGACGGGGGCCCGCACAAGCGGAGGAACAUGUGGUUUAAUUCGAUGAUACGCGAGGAACCUUACCCGGGCUUGAAUUGCAACUGAAUGAUGUGGAGACAUGUCAGCCGCAAGGCAGUUGUGAAGGUGCUGCAUGGUUGUCGUCAGCUCGUGCCGUGAGGUGUCGGCUUAAGUGCCAUAACGAGCGCAACCCUUAUCUUUAGUUACUAACAGGUCAUGCUGAGGACUCUAGAGAGACUGCCGUCGUAAGAUGUGAGGAAGGUGGGGAUGACGUCAAAUCAUCAUGCCCCUUAUGAUUUGGGCUACACACGUGCUACAAUGGCGUAAACAAAGAGAAGCGAGCCUGCGAGGGGGAGCAAAUCUCAAAAAUAACGUCUCAGUUCGGAUUGCAGGCUGCAACUCGCCUGCAUGAAGCUGGAAUCGCUAGUAAUCGCGGAUCAGAAUGCCGCGGUGAAUACGUUCCCGGGCCUUGUACACACCGCCCGUCAAGCCAUGAAAGCCGGGGGUACCUGAAGUGCGUAACCGCAAGGAGCGCCCUAGGGUAAAACUGGUGAUUGGGGCU